AUUUCCGAUUUCUGCUCUCUGCGCUGAGCACAGCGGCACCAGGCUGAGCUAAGCAGGGCCGCCUUGGGCAGGCCUACCUGGUGGUGCAGGCGAGACCCAGGCUGGGCAAGGCGCAGGUGUAGCCUGUGUUACUCCCACCUCCCCCCCCCACCUUUUGGCCACAGCAGGCUUCUGAUGGGUUUUGAGGGUGUCCUCCCCCACCUCCCUCAAGUGGGGUGGAGUCCUGGGCAAAGGGAGGUCUCUGUACCGACUGGUCUGGCCAGGAGUUGGGAUGAGUGGAGGGCCCAGUGGGUCUGAGUCCCCUGCCAUUCCCAGAAUGGAGCUGUGGCCCUACCAAUGGGAGGUGAUCAUGCCUGCCAGGGCGCUGGCGCAGCAGCAGUACUUUCCCAGAGUUUGUACUCACGGCAGUUGGCGAUGACUGUUAGCACAAACGGUUCUUUUCUCUUGGUUCUUUUUCCUGGGGGGGAUGGGAGAUUCCUAAUUCGGCUCAGCUGUCUCCUUCCCUCAGUUUCAGUUUCCAUCUUGGGUCUCCGAGCUGAGCAGAGUGGCACCAGGCUGAGUUAAGUGGGACUGCCCUGGGCAGACCUACCUACUAGAGCAGAAUGGAGCUUCGGCCCUACCAAUGGGAGGUGAUCAUGCCUGCCCUGGAGGGCAAGAAUAUCAUCAUCUGGCUGCCCACGGGUGCCGGGAAGACUCGGGCGGCUGCUUAUGUGGCCAAGCGGCACCUAGAGACUGUGGAUGGAGCCAAGGUGGUUGUAUUGGUCAACAGGGUGAGUGGUCUGUCCCUACCCCGCUCCCCCACCACCAAGCAGGGUCUCAGCUCUUCAGGCAUCUCCCAGUCCCCACCAGAACUCCAAAGCUGCUGUGGCCAUCGAUAAGCUCACCUGUCUUUCCACCCUGGCUCAGUACCCAGCCAUGUCCUGCGGGUCACCUUACCUCCUCCCUACCCCUGGCCCCAGAUUCAGCUCUCUUUUCCCAGCUCAUUCUCCACCCCCAGGUGCACCUGGUGACCCAGCAUGGUGAAGAGUUCAGGCGCAUGCUGGAUGGACGCUGGACCAUGACAACCCUGAGUGGGGACAUGGGACCACGUGCUGGCUUUGGCCACCUGGCCCGGUGCCAUGACCUGCUCAUCUGCACAGCAGAGCUUCUGCAGAUGGCACUGACCAGCCCCGAGGAGGAGGAGCACGUGGAGCUCACUGCCUUCUCCCUGAUCGUGGUGGAUGAGUGCCACCACACGCACAAGGACACCGUCUACAACGUCAUCAUGAGCCAGUACCUAGAACUUAAACUCCAGAGGGCACAGCCGCUACCCCAGGUGCUGGGUCUCACAGCCUCCCCAGGCACUGGUGGGGCCUCCAAACUCGAUGGGGCCAUCAACCACGUCCUGCAGCUCUGUGCCAACUUGGACACGUGGUGCAUCAUGUCACCCCAGAACUGCUGCCCCCAGCUGCAGGAGCACAGCCAACAGCCUUGCAAACAGUACAACCUCUGCCACAGGCGCAGCCAGGAUCCGUUUGGGGACUUGCUGAAGAAGCUCAUGGACCAAAUCCAUGACCACCUGGAGAUGCCUGAGUUGAGCCGGAACUUUGGGACGCAAAUGUAUGAGCAGCAGGUGGUGAAGCUGAGUGAGGCUGCGGCUUUGGCUGGGCUUCAGGAGCAACGGGUGUAUGCGCUUCACCUGAGGCGCUACAAUGACGCGCUGCUCAUCCAUGACACCGUCCGCGCCGUGGAUGCCUUGGCUGCGCUGCAGGAUUUCUAUCACAGGGAGCACGUCACUAAAACCCAGAUCCUGUGUGCCGAGCGCCGGCUGCUGGCCCUGUUCGAUGACCGCAAGAAUGAGCUGGCCCACUUGGCAACUCAUGGCCCAGAGAAUCCAAAACUGGAGAUGCUGGAAAAGAUCCUGCAAAGGCAGUUCAGUAGCUCUAACAGCUCUCGGGGUAUCAUCUUCACCCGCACCCGCCAGAGCGCACACUCCCUCCUGCUCUGGCUCCAGCAGCAGCAGGGCCUGCAGACUGUGGACAUCCGGGCCCAGCUACUGAUUGGGGCUGGGAACAGCAGCCAGAGCACCCACAUGACCCAGAGGGACCAGCAAGAAGUGAUCCAGAAGUUCCAAGAUGGAACCCUGAACCUUCUGGUGGCCACGAGUGUGGCGGAGGAGGGGCUGGACAUCCCACAUUGCAAUGUGGUGGUGCGUUAUGGGCUCUUGACCAAUGAAAUCUCCAUGGUCCAGGCCAGGGGCCGUGCCCGGGCCGAUCAGAGUGUAUAUGCGUUUGUAGCAACUGAAGGUAGCCGGGAGCUGAAGCGGGAGCUGAUCAACGAGGCGCUGGAGACACUGAUGGAGCAGGCAGUGGCUGCUGUGCAGAAAAUGGACCAGGCCGAGUACCAGGCCAAGGAACUACUAUAAUGUCUCCAGGGAUCCUGUGGUCAUCAACAAAGUCUUCAAGGACUGGAAGCCUGGGGGUGUCAUCAGCUGCAGGAACUGUGGGGAGGUCUGGGGUCUGCAGAUGAUCUACAAGUCAGUGAAGCUGCCAGUGCUCAAAGUCCGCAGCAUGCUACUGGAGACCCCUCAGGGGCGGAUCCAGGCCAAAAAGUGGUCCCGCGUGCCCUUCUCCGUGCCUGACUUUGACUUCCUGCAGCAUUGUGCCCAGAACUUGUCGGACCUCUCCCUGGACUGACCACCUCAUUGCUGCAGUGCCCGGUUUGGGCUGUAGGGGGCGGGAGAGUCUGCAGCAGACUCCAGGCCCCUCCUUCCUGAAUCAUCAGCUGUGGGCAUCAGGCCCACCAGCCACACAGGAGUCCUGGGCACCCUGGCUUAGGCUCCCGCAAUGGGAAAACAACCGGAGGGCCAGAGCUCAGUCCAGACCUACCUUGUACGCACAUAGACAUUUUCAUAUGCACUGGAUGGAGUUAGGGAAACUGAGGCAAAAGAAUUUGCCAUACUGAGAAUCACGACAUUCCUUCCCUACCAAGGCCACUUCUAUUUUUUGAGGCUCCUCAUAAAAAUAAAUGAAAAAAUGAGAUAGAAAA